UUUACGUUGACCACGUGACGUCUAGUCUAUGAGAGCAGGCUGUUCGGGGAGACAGGUAGCUAAUUAGCACAGGUAGUCAGUCCAGUCCGUAAACAUGCGCUGUAACAUGGAAAUAAAACCGUGUGGGAACCCUAACCCGAUUAAGGACUGUUUUGAUCAUGCGGACUGGGAAAUGUUCCGGGCAGCCUCAGAGAAUAACAUCGAUCUAUACGCUGACUCGGUGAGUGAGUUUAUAAGGAAGUGCAUUGGAGAUGUUGUACCCACUGUGACUAUUAAAACCUACCCUAACCAGAAACCAUGGAUGGAUGGCGGCAUUAGCGCAAAACUGAAAGCGUGAAUCACUGCAUUUAACCAUGGAAAGAGGACUGGGAAUAUGGCUGAAUAUAAACACUGUAGUUAUUCAUUCCGCAAGGUAAUCAAACAAGCCAAAUGCCGGAGCAAAGUGGAGCCGCAAUUCAACAGCUCAGACACGUAUGUGGCAGGGUCUACAGGCAAUUACUACAUAAAAACUACAAAAAGAAAACCAGCCACGUCACGGACGUACGGCAACUGUACUGCCCUGUACCGCCCAACAGCAAGGCUCUCCAGAGGGUGGUCUCUCCAGGGCACCUACAGCAUCCACAGGAAGGCCAAAAAGUUCAAGGACAACAGCCACCUGAGCCACUGCCUGUUCACCCUGUUUACCAUCCAGAAAGCGAGGUCAGUACAGGUGCAUCAAAGCUGGGAUCGAGAGAUCGAAGCUGUUUUUCAAUCUCAAGGCCAUCAGACUGCUAAACAGCAAUCACUAAUUCAGAGAGGCUGCUUCCUACAUAGAAGCUCACUAGUCACUUUAAACAAUAGCACUUUAAUCAUGUUUACAUAUCUUACAUUACUCAUCUCAUAUGUAAAGUAUAUACUGUAUCUUAUGCCAUCUAUUGCAUCUUGCCUAUGGCGCUCGGCUGUCACUCAUCCAUAUAUUUAUAUGUACAUAUUCUUAUUCCAUCCCUUUAGAUUUGUGUGUAUUAGGUAGUUGUUGAGGAAUCGUUAGAUAUUAUUGCACUGUUGGAACAUUUCCCAACACUUGCAUUAACAUCUGCUAACCAUGUGUAUGUGACCAAUAAGAUUUGAUUUGCAACGUUGUAUCAUGAUCAUCAGUGGUGUAGUAGUGAGUAUAGGGGAGUCCAUUUUACGUCUGUCACUUUCGGUUGUAAACGACUGGUAUGUCCUAGAAACAUUGUUACAGUGUGUAAUGCUAAGAUGUGCAUGUUUGUAUAAAAAUAUUUUCAAUCUA